GAAUUAUGACCAUCAGGGUUCAGACCUCAGCUCGAUUGGAGACCAGCCUGCAAUUCCCCACAAAGCAAGAAACUUGGAACUGAAAUUCUAUUGGAAGAAGUUGAAGAAACUCACAGGGCUACAGGGGGAACCUAUUGAAGAACCCCCUGCAAGUUUUCCCAGAAUCUUAUGAGAUGCCUGAAGAUGACCCAAAGCCACAGGGAGGACCCCAUCUGAAAGACAUAGCUCCCUCCUGUGUCUCUGUGCCCUUGGUACCCGAGAACAGAACACAGAUUCCCUAUGUGGUUCUCCAGCUAAGCACAUCAACUAGAUGAUAACAAAGACAACACAAGGUGAAACCAAACCAAACCAAUGUUUACCAAGUAAACAAAACUGGAAAAAAUGUAAUGAAUUUUAGGAGAUGCUAUAUGUAGUGAUUGUAAUUGAAAU